rnacentral:rRNA from 1 species
AGCUGGAUCCCCCUCAGCCGUGCGUUGCUGUACGGCGUGCGCGGCUGGGGCCAGCGUUGCUGAAUUAUUCACCCGUGUCUUUUGCGUACUUCUUGUUUCCUGGGUGGGUUCGCCCACCACCAGGACCAACCACCAAACCUUUUGUAAUUGCAAUCUGCGUCAGUAACCAACAUAAUAAUUUACAACUUUCAACAACGGAUCUCUUGGUUCUGGCAUCGAUGAAGAACGCAGCGAAAUGCGAUAAGUAGUGUGAAUUGCAGAAUUCAGUGAAUCAUCGAAUCUUUGAACGCACAUUGCGCCCUUUGGUAUUCCAAAGGGCAUGCCUGUUCGAGCGUCAUUUGUACCCUCAAGCUUUGCUUGGUGUUGGGCGUCUUGUCUCUAGUUCGCUGGGGACUCGCCUUAAAGUCACUGGCAGCCGGCCUACUGGUUUCGGAGCGCAGCACAAGUCGCGCUCUCUUUUCCAGCCAAGGUCAGCGUCCACCAAGCCACAUUUUCAACCUUUGACCUCGGAUCAGGUAGGGAUACCCGCUGAACUUAAGCAUAUCAAUAAGCCGGAGGAA